rnacentral:rRNA from 1 species
GACGUAGGAUGCGAGCGUUGUCCGGAUUUAUUGGGCGUAAAGAGUUCGUAGGUGGUUCGUUAAGUCCGAUGUUAAAGAUCGGGGCCCAACCCCGGGAGUGCAUUGGAUACUGGCGGACUGGAGUGCAGUAGAGGCGAGUGGAAUUCCCAGUGUAGCGGUGAAAUGCGUAGAUAUUGGGAAGAACACCGGUGGCGUAGGCGACUCGCUGGGCUGUAACUGACGCUGAGGAACGAAAGCCAGGGGAGCGAAUGGGAUUAGAUACCCCAGUAGUCCUGGCCGUAAACGAUGGAUACUAGGCGUAUCGGGUAUCGACCCCUGAUGUGCCGUAGCUAACGCGAUAAGUAUCCCGCCUGAGUAGUACGGCCGCAAGGUUGAA